UGUACUGAAAGGUAUAGUUGC
rnacentral:piRNA from 1 species